CAUGCUGAACUUAAGCAUAUCAAUAAGUGGAGGAAAAGACACCAACAUGAAUUGCCUCAGUAGCAGCAAGUGAAGCGGCAACAGCUCAAAUUUGAAAUCUGGUCCUCUCAGGAUCUGGGUUGUAAUUGGAAAGGAUGCUUCAGGUGGGAUUUUGCGAGGACUGUAUGGAAAUGAAGUGGUAAAAGAGAUGAGAUGCCAUGUCUUCGAUGGCGAUUUGAGAAUGGAAAUUUGUGUUGGUUAUUGAAAGUGGAAGGUUCGAUUCCUUUGAAGUAAGCUUUCCCGAUGGGUCUCAUUUAUGAUAAAG
rnacentral:ncRNA from 1 species